CCUCCACAAAAUCCUGGCCUUGUAGGUACCCAGAAAUUGAGCACUGUAUCAAAAAGGGAGCAAGAGAAAAAAGGAAGCAUUGGUCUGAAGCUCAGAAAUAGGUUAUACUAUUUUCCAGUGGAAUUUCCACCUGCUUCCGGAGCUCAGUGCAGAAAGCAACAUUCUUUGGCUCAGAGAUCACACACAGUGGAUACAUAGCUCCCACAAUUCCUUCGUGCUUUUUUUCCUCACUCUUUUGCUGACUUGUCACUUCUCAAUGAUGUAUGUUUCUGCCUAAGGCUUCUAAAUUGAUUAUGGAGAGAGAACAAGGGACUCUUGCUGAGAAAAAAGAAACAGAACCAUUUUGAAGUGAACAUUAACUUGGGCCCAGUCAGUUUCGUGUGAGAUCAGGUUAUUAUAGAACCAACAGUUCAGGGUGGGCUCUGACUUCAUGAAAUCAGAAACAGCCUGAAACCACUGACUUCCAUCAGCAGAGUCCAACAAAAGCCCAGAUCGAUGAAUAGAGAGGCCAUGAAGGACAGAGAGAGAGAGAGAGAGAGAGAGAGAGAGAGAGAGAGAGAGAUCAUUGAGGAUGGCCCUGUCCAAUUAUCAAUUACAAUGGUUGUUCGGAUUCAAUGAAUGCUUCUGGUACUUAAUAUUUUAAAAUAUACAGCUGGUGGCCCAGGCCUGGAAUCCCAGUACUUGGGAAACUGAAGCAGAAGGGGGAUCAAGAGUUUGAGGCCAGCUUGGGCAACAAAGUGAGAGCCUGUCUGAGAAAGAAAUACAGCAAGGAGAACUAAAGAAUACAGGGAACAAAUUCUUUGGUUGUAAUUUCAUAUGAAUUGAGUGAGACCCAUGAAGUCCAUCUACUCUGACACCAUGGCCUGUGAAAUCGCUCUUCAUACAGAAGAGGGAAUGAUGCCGUCCAGCAUUCACUUUUGUGUGCUGGGAGAAACCGAGGAAACCAGAGCGAGAUAGAACACUGCGCCCUGUGUUGUGCCUCAGGAUGUUGUAUCAGAACUCUUUCUGAUGAUGGAUUUCUUUUUUUUCUGAGUGAAUCAGAGAAUUGACUAGAGUCUACAUUAUAUUUAAAAAAUUAAGCUUUAUGUGAACAGGCAAGGGCAUGUGGAUAGGUGUGGAAUUAUUCAUGAAGCUACAAGGCUAAAGAAACACUGCCUUCUCCCUUUCUGGAAGGACUGAUAUGAUGGCCCAUUCCCACAGUCCAGGUGGUUUCUUGCUUGCAGUUGCCCUUUCACAGCCACAAAUAUGAGAAGUGAUUACUUGACAAAACAUUUUUAUGCUAUUUUUAAAAUGAGAAAAUUGACUUAUGUGAAUAUUCGAUCCAAACUUUGAUUUUGAGACAACAAAAUGUGUAUCGUUCUAAAUGUCCCAGACACUCCUAGUAUUGACUUCUACCAAUAAAUGGCACUAAAACGAUUUGGAGCAGAGCUGACUGAUUUGUAUACAUUCAUCAUCCUCAUUGAGAUCUUCUACUGCCUCUUUUAAAAUCUGUUGUGGGCGGGGGAUUUAGCUCAGUGGUUCUGCCACCUGCCUUGCAAGCGCAAAGUCCCAAGUUCGAUCCCCAGUACCAAAAAAAAAAAAAAAAAGAAGUAUGAUAAAAAAUGAAAGGUAAGUGACUCAAAGCACUUUCAUUCACUUUAAGAAGUUAGAAGUGAUUAAUUUUACAUGGAGGAAUCAGCAAUGUUUCCAACAGGAUGUCAGA
rnacentral:lncRNA from 1 species